AACGAACGCUGGCGGCAUGCCUAACACAUGCAAGUCGAACGAGACCUUCGGGUCUAGUGGCGCACGGGUGCGUAACGCGUGGGAAUCUGCCUUUGGGUUCGGAAUAACAGUUGGAAAUGACUGCUAAUACCGGAUAAUGUCUUCGGACCAAAGAUUUAUCGCCCAGGGAUGAGCCCGCGUAGGAUUAGCUAGUUGGUGAGGUAAAGGCUCACCAAGGCGACGAUCCUUAGCUGGUCUGAGAGGAUGAUCAGCCACACUGGGACUGAGACACGGCCCAGACUCCUACGGGAGGCAGCAGUGGGAAUAUUGGACAAUGGGCGAAAGCCUGAUCCAGCAAUGCCGCGUGAGUGAUGAAGGCCUUAGGGUUGUAAAGCUCUUUUACCCGGGAUGAUAAUGACAGUACCGGGAGAAUAAGCCCCGGCUAAACUCCGUGCCAGCAGCCGCGGUAAU
rnacentral:rRNA from 1 species